CGUCACCGAAAAGUCAGACAAAGGGCUAGAGAUGCAGCAUUGAGAGCUAGGAGACAUUCCCGGAAAGAAGCUGACAAGCCGUGGGAGCUGCUCUCGCUCAUGCGAAGCCAGGGCUGGCUACCUCAGGAGGGGGCUGUGCGGCAGAUCCUGUGUGCAGAUCCCUGCUGCCAAACCUGCAACACCAUGGCUCUGGAGAUUCAGCAGUUGUUGGGUGAGAACACCCUGAUCUCCCCAACUUCAGGGGACACCUCUCAGGGCUCCUCUUGCCUAGAGGUUCUGCCCAUGUCUAAUGUGCCUUUUGAGCAGAGUCUGGAACUUCGUUCCCCACACUCCAAAGACCUUUCAGUUCCGUCUGUAACCCUCACAGUGUCACAGAAAUCCUUAGCCCAGUCCGUGGCCCAGUCACCUAGUGCAGCUGGCAUCCAUGAUUACUGGGCUGAACAUCUCAAGCUAAGGCAGGGAUUCCAAGUGCCAGAGGUUCCCUCAGGGACUGAGGAGCCAAGAAUUUUAGUGAAUCUGCAGGAGAUGAUGCAGAGCAACCUCAGCCUCAUCUGUGGGAACCAAGUCCAGCAGCCCUUCAGUCCCCAGGUGUCUCUGCUGCCUUUGAAACAAGAAAUUACUACCCUGACACAUUCAGUGGCCUUGCCGAUGGUCACUGUCCUCCCUGCCCACCUGCCGUUCCUGAGUCCUGAAGUCCUGAGACUUCUUGAGGUCCAUGUGAAAAAAUGGAUGCAUUUCCAGAGGUGGGGGCUCCCCAGGCGUGUAGAAGAGUCCCUGAGGCAGCUGAUGCCAAACCCGCCACUAGUUUACCAAACUGUAUAUAACCAACCAGUUUCUUUCAUCCACAAUAAUACUUCUCAUUUCUCUGUUGAGAAAUGUGGGACCAUUUUGUACCAGAACUGGGGUUCAGGUAUGGCCGGCCAGCCUACCCAGGCCUUCUGGGUUUCUGAAUGGUGCGUUACGGAUCCAGAACAAAGACACCUCUACCAGCAAAUCCCCAGCCAUAAGGCUUUAGCCCUGCCCUCGUCAGUCCUUAAAGAAUUAAGUGGCCUCUAUCUAAUGUCUGGGCAACAGGCCAGUGACUCAGUGGGCCCCGUGCAGCCAAAAUACAGCCAGCUAUUCUGUGGCCUGCCUUCUCUGCACAGUGAGUCGCUGGUUGACACCUUCUUGGCUUCUCAAGGCCUCUCCAACGACGAGAGCAUGUCCAAGCCCCACUUGAAGGACCCCUUUCUCUUGAAGGAUCCCAAGGAACUCUCCUUCCUCCCUUUGCUGCCUAAAACUCCAACCCAGUCAACUCCACUGUCUUCUCUGUCUUGUCAAGAUUGUGUUGCUCCAUCUGAUCACCAACAAGCUCACAUCAAUGUCCCAUUUCUGACUCUGGACGAGUGUGAAGCCUUGGAGUGGCACCUGCUGCAGAGGCAGCUCCAGCUUCAGUGGGACUUGCCAGAUGUUUUUCAGAGAGAUCAACAUGUCCAGAGCCCCGUGCAAUGUAAGCCCGGUGACAAAGCCCAGUCUUCUGAGACUCUGAAAACUUCCUGGUCGGGGCAGCCUGUCUCAGUCCUCACAAGGGAACCAGUCUUCCCGCAGCACACCAGGAGGCUGCUGGAGUACCACCUCCAGAGACAGCUGAUUCACCACCGCUGGGGCCUGCCCCAGAAGAUCCAGCAGUCCAUCCAGUUGCUCCGGUCCCCCACUAACCAGCAGACUAUACCCUGGAGCAGCACAGCCCUAGACAGUGUGAAUGGCCCCCAGCCUACAUCUCUGGAGGCCACUGGAGCUGAUGACCCAUUCUCACCUAUUGUGGACCCACUGUCAGUCCCCAUGCCACACUUGUUUGACAAGGCCAAGGCAAUAUUGCAGGGCCAUAUCGCCUCCAGAUGUGGGCAAAUUCACCAGGGCAACAUCCCUGCCUCUGUAUAUAGAUCUUGGGAGUGCAUAAUUCCUGGGGGCCUGGAAGUGACUCCCUUCAGCUGCAUCCUGGAAAGCAAGCCCCUGGAACUCCAGGCAGCAGCUGACCAGGACCUUCAACAGGAAGGGAUGCCAGAGGCCCUUGAUCAGCAGCAACAGGUCUCACCAAAAGCUGUCGUUGAACAUCCCAAGCUGCCCGGAGUCCUGUCAGAGGCAGCCAUUGAGAAACUGGAGAUGACUUUACGGCACAAGUAUCUGGCCUUCUUGUCAGGGCUGCCUGCUCUUUAUUGUGUGUCUCCCUCCAGGGUCAUGGCCCCAGCAACCACGUCAAUCACGUCCCCAGCCAUGGUCACAGAGAUGGUGCCUGAGCCUGUCCAAUUCUCAACAGAACCUGUGACUCAGGUGACCUCACCUGAAGAGCAGGGCCCAAGUCCUGGGCCAGGCUUUCAAGAGGCCAAUGAGGCUCUUUCAAACACUGCAGAAGAAUUCCAGGCUGAUGAGCAGGUGGAAGGAGUAAUUGAGAUGCUGCCUAUAGAAAGCGAAACAGAGCCUGAGAGGCCCUCUUCACUUGGGGAGCACAUCUUGGCCAAAAUGAAUUUCCAUCUGAGAAAGAAGAUCCUAGAGGCACAGAUUGGAAUUCCCAUAAAGGCAAGAGAGUCUAGGGAACAAGUUGUAGGAAUGUCAGAGGAUGUAUGUACACAGGAGUCUCUUGAGAGUUUAAACAACCAAGGACAACCACUGCUCCAGGAACUCCCCAUCCCACCAGAUAUGCCAUGUGCCCCAGACCCAGAGUGGCUCCACCUUAAAGAACAGCUGGCCACUGAGUUAAAGGCGGUGCACCAGAAACAGAAGCAACCCAGUUGCAGCAUAGUACCCCAUGGUUCUGUCCACGGGGCUUCCAGUAUCUCAGUCAGUGGGGACAUGACAGAGGCCCAGGUGCUUUGUGUUCAGCUGGAGGCCAGUGUGAACAACCCCAGUCUGGGGGAGCCUUGGAGCCCUGAGCCCCGGAGCCCUGAGCCCCAUAUGCCUGACAAGAGCAAGGACUCAGCCCAAGUCCCCACACUGGCAGAAAAGAGGGAGGAGCCAGGCAAACCCAUAUUGGUUGGGGACCAUGGAGAAGGGGAUGCUGGGUUCACACUCUCCUCCACAAGAGGAAAAAGCCACUCUGUUGAAGGCCAGAGGCCAGAAGGGAUACUUCUGAAUAGGACACCCCGCAGCCCCUGGCAACGGAGACAUCGCUUUCACCUUGAUGCUUCCUGUCAACACAGUCCUAAGCAUUGCCCUCAGCCUAAACUCCCAGAGCUACCUCCUGGAGGAGUCCCUAAGGGGAAGGAUUCUCAGAAAAAAGACCUGCAAGACUGUCAAGCCAAGCUCAGUGUUACCCUCAAAGCAGCAAAGGUUCCUGAGAAUGCCCAGCCUGUGGUGCCCCAGGCGUCACGAGGCCAGACUUUCCUGGGCCAGCUCACUGUGGGUAAGCCAUUGGAGGGCCGAGUUUUACAAGGUCAGGUCUUUCAGAGGCAGGUAGUGCAAGGCCGUACUCACACGAGGCCCAGCCUUCCAGAAUAUGGCCUGAGAAAUAAGAUAAAAUCUCUUUUGCACUGUGUUAUACCCCAGACAAAAGGCAAAGGGCAUGAGGCAUCCAUAUCCUCUGCAUCUGAGAAAGUGGCCAGGACCAGAAAAGAAAAUGUGGAAAAAAGCUUGGCUCUAGCCAAAAGUCCCAAGGGACUAACUAAGACAGAGAAGACAAGAGGGGACCGCAAGGCCCAGUUUCCACCCGCCAAGAAGCAGAUGGGCCUGGCUUUCAUGGAUGUUACCCACUCCCCAUAUAGUAAGCUCCGGCACCACUCCCGCUCCCAUCAACUCCACUUGGCUUCAGUCCUGGGCAACCCCCGCCACUGCCCUCGGCACUGUCCUCGAGGGGCUUGUGCCACCCAACCAAAGAACUCACCCUAA
rnacentral:lncRNA from 1 species